rnacentral:rRNA from 1 species
UGAGUAAUGCGUGACCAACCUGCCCCAUGCUCCAGAAUAGCUCUUGGAAACGGGUGGUAAUGCUGGAUGCUCCAACUUGACGCAUGUCUUGUUGGGAAAGUGUUUAGUGGCAUGGGAUGGGGUCGCGUCCUAUCAGCUUGUAGGCGGGGUAAUGGCCCACCUAGGCUUCGACGGGUAGCCGGCCUGAGAGGGCGGACGGCCACAUUGGGACUGAGAUACGGCCCAGACUCCUACGGGAGGCAGCAGCU